GAAAUGUUUACCCAAUCCACAGGGGAGGCAGCGAAAUGAAGUUGAAACAGGCCCAUCCCUGAGGGAAACAGGACCCAUCUGGAUGCCGAAGUGCCUCUGCCCCGGCAACGCUGGUGGUGGUGGCGAUGGGGGUGGGGAGCUUGAAGAAGACAGGGAAAGAUGAGUCUCUUCCAGUUUUCACACGCUUCAGGAUCCAGUCGCAGGCUGAGCGAAGCAAAACUCCCAGGGAAACGUCUUCCCUGUGGGAUAGGGAGCGAGGUAAGGAAGCGCUGGUGAGAAUAGGAAAUGCUACCUGUGCGGGCCCUUGGCGCUCCCUUCCCGCCACCCGCGGCUUCACAGUAACUUUAACGCCAGUUCCCAUCAGCCAAAGAGAAGGUGCGCGGAAGUCCAAGGACGCAGGCAGAGGCACGGCUUGCCCCCGAACUCCCACCCCUCAGAAGCCCCAAGCCUGCUCCCGCCCACCGCCGAAGCCAGUCCUUCUCCUUUGCUCUUCUCCUGGCGGAAGGAUGCGCGUCUCCUAGUCUCCCUGAAGAUGGGGCGAGGGACAUCCGAGAGAGCCAUAGGUCAAGUCGUUUCUGCAGCUUAUCCAGAUAGUAACAUCUGUGUCCUCUCUCUUCCCGGCCAGCUGUGGUCCGGCAUGGACCCUCUUCUACUCAGAUUCAAACCAGCCUCCCAUGGAAACUGGGACAGUUCUGUUUGCAAAGGGCGGGCUGCAGCCUCCGCAGCUGCCCAGACUUCUCAGAACCAGCAAGAGCCAGGUUGCGGUGGUUUGGAGCCCAGCGCCGAUAAUAAAUCUCCAUCCUGAAGCCUUUGACUGCCUCCGCGGGGAAUUGAAGCACAGCCUUUCUGAGCGCCCACUGGCAGCCCCGCCGCAUUGCCAAGCCUUGACUCCAGGGCUCUGGCAGACGGCCUUUCUGGACCUGUCUUUUUUCUUCACUUUUUUCCCUCCCCCAACCUCUCAUCUCACCUCUCCUUGAGCAUUCACAUUUCUAUUUCCAGCCAACUGUUUUUAAAUCCUGGGGGAGUUCAGAGAAGCCUUUAAAGGAUUUUGCAAUCUACCAGUGCGCCUCUCCCCUUGAACUUGGAGUACUGAGGAGGUGGAACAACAGGUUCCAGAGCUGGGCACCCACGCUUCUCAGUGAAAGAAAGUGCCUGCACAGCUCAUCGUGCAGCAAGAAACAACAGGUGCAAAAGGCAAAGGCCACUUUGGAACCAUUUGGACCAAAGAACACGGCUCAGUGUAACAAAAGCGCCCACAGACUUGGCACGCCCGCGCUAUUCUGCCUGCGAGAUGGGCCUGGAAUCAGACCACAGCCUCGGAGUCUACGGCUGCCGUUCCAGGUGGUCCCACCUACUCCUUCUCUCAACCGAGACGAAAGGCAGCUGGGGAGGGCAUCGCAUGAAGAGAUGGGUCGUGUCCAAUUCAUUUUUACUAGGUGCUGACAAGUCACUGCGAAAGUCUGGAAAUGUGUAGCACAGCAAAAACACACGGGUCACAAUGCACUGGUGAAUGAUUACCAGAGGAGAAAUUCAUUACAGGCUGCUCCUGGCUCCCAUCACAUAAGGAAGUCUUACAUUAACAAGAUGGAAGGUCCCCCGCGGUCCCCUCCCCAGCCCAGCCCCCACUGCUGCCGCCUGCCACCCCACUUUUUCAAUUUGUGUUGCAUGGUGGGAGCAGAACCCAAAGGCGGGGGAAGUUUAUUCAGCUAUACUAAUCAAAAAGGGGGGCAUGGUGGCAGCCAAAGCCAAUGGAAGCAGAUUCGACCUAUAUGCCACAUGAAAUUCUCGCCUUGCAAUCUGAACCAGGUAUGACCACUGUAGUCUGGCACUGGUGGCGUUAAAUGUCUAUGGCUUUAAAACAAAAUGCCAUGUUUUUUAAUCUGUUCAUGGAAUUUGCUUCCAUCCUGGAUGCGUGUGGUUCCCCAUAGAUGUGUCCAGUUCUUGUGUCAGUUGGCCCCCAGGUUUUCCUGUGUUUCUAACCUUUCCUAACAUAGACACAGACAGAUGUAGAUUCUCUUGGGUGCCAGCCCAGGAGCCAUGCUGGAGACUGUGGGAGGCGAAGGUGAAUGAGACGUGCUGGCUUUGGAGCCACUCUGGCCCCCAAAGUGCUGGGGUCCUGGGAACAAGGAGUCUCCACUUUGUGGUGGCGAAGAGGACGUUAUAGAUCCAGUGGCCUUUAAGUCCUUACUAGUCCAUGUCACAUACCGUCAUUGCCUCGUUCCUCUUUCUCAUCUCUUCUCCAAUGACCACUUCCCACGUUCAGGAAUCACAGGCCACAAGCAGAAGGUUAGCAAAGAGUCAAAAGCUUGCAGACAGAUGGGUCAAUAGCUCUUUAAUGAGAUUUCUGUUCCGUCAAGAUGCCACUCACAUGCAGGGGGGUCAGCCAGCUGGAUCUGCAUUUAAAGUCAAAUGCAAAGCCAGGUGGAGACAGCCGGGUUCGACCUGGGAUGGGACUGUCUGUGGGUACCUUCUGCCGGAGAGCAAGAAGCUCAGCCCCUUGGCCUCCCCCUUGCCCCUCACCACUCAGAGGCGCGGUCAAGUUCUUGUUGCAAAUGUUAACCUAGAGGGGGUGAGGAGCCCCAGCCAAUACGAUGAUAAAUAUUAAACUGCCCUGCCAGGACCUGGACGGAAAGCUGCCAUUUCAUCUUGCAGCUUUCUCUGGGCUUAAGGAAAAGAGAACCCACCUCUCACGGAAGCGCCCGGAGAGACAUGCCCUCGGACUCCUUAGUGCUGGGGAAACCUUCAAAACUAUUCAAUUUGUCUCAGCCCCAUCCAGCUUUAAUGUCAGAGUCUACAUUUUCUCCUCUCCUCCUUUUUCAAAGCAGCCAAAAAAGAAAAUGUCACUGCAUUUGGGGCCGAUUCCAAAGCCAGGCUCACACGGAGGUUCUGUUUCAUUCUGUGCAGCUCUGGUGUUUUAAUGUCCUGUGGAGUCUUCAGGGGCUACACCUCCACACCCACCAUUCCUGGGUUCAUUUGGCAUCUUUAUGUCCCCUUUCUCUUAUAUGAUCCUCAUGUGCCCUCUUCUAAAGCCCCACCUUAGAAUUCGCAAAGCUCGCUCUGUGACUCUAGCCCCUGCUAAGAGGACGUCAUGUUCAAUUGAGGGGUGGGGGUGGGGAGGGGAGCUUGCCGCCACCCCCUCAACAUCCUGAAGGGGAUUUGGAGGUUGAAUAGCUGAUGCGGAUAAAUGUCCCCUGUGCUGCCUUUUAGCAAAGAGUCAAUUUGGGGACCACAUUCCUCAAAUUUGUGCGAAACGCACAGGAUCGUCCCAAGCUGUGGCAGUUUGGUUGGGAACAGUCUAUGCAGCUCCUCUCCCCUGUACGCCCUAAAGAGACUCUUUAAGCUGUGAAGGGCAGGUGGCAGUUCUGAUGAAGAUGACAGUCAGAGCACAUCCCUGACAGCCCCUGGCUCACCCAGGAGUGGGGAGCUGCUGCACUGAUUGAUACCUGGGGGCGAGGCUGUCAGCAGGGAGGACACAGGAGGGAGAUAAGGGACUCAAUCAGUGUCAGACACGUCCUGACACACAGCGCCGUAAAUCACUUUGGGGAAAGAUCCCCAGCUGCCAAGAGCGGAGAAGGGCGAGCAGGUAAUAGAAAAACAGGGCCACAAGCAGCUGUGUGGCUCUGGGCUGGACCUGGCACCCGGCCUUGGCUCAGGAUGGAAAUGUCCAAAACUCAGAACUCCAUCCACCUGUCCUCAGCCAAAGAGGAGACGCAGCCCUGAGUGAAUUGCAGUGGGUGAAUAUAAUCCAGAGUGAAUUUCGGAGCAUGAAUGAUGUCUCAGUAACGCUGCUAUAAAUAUAGAUAUUCCAACCAGGAGGCCAGGCCGAUUCAGUGGAAAUUCUCCAUUCCCCACCCCCACCCCGCUCCAUGCAGGAAGGAGGAAGAGACCACUGCGGAUGCUCUCACUCUGUCCUUGCCCCCGCCCCCUCCACGCCUGGAGUGAGAAGCAGCACACAGUGAGCUGGGAGGAAAACAGGGCUUCAAGGCUCAGCAUUUUGAUGAGAAAAGAUUUUUUUUUUCCAAUUCCAGGCAGCCCAGGACUGUACUUCGGCAACCCCCAACCACACUGUAGAUGUGAUUAGCUGGCCAAACCCAUUUUAGAGAUUGUCUUUCAACACAUCUUAAUUAGACACUUAAAAAUAAUAACCUUUUUUUUUUAAUCUAUCCAGGGGACAGAGAUUCCUAAGUUGGAAAUAAUGAAGGGAUUAGUGAUUAAUUAAUUGCUGGCAGGUGUGGGGAGAAACCAUCUACAGCUUCUUUGCCUGUUCCCCCUUUCUCUCUUAAGAUCAUUCUUUCUUAUUUUAAUUAGCUCUUGCCACCCCAGCACUUCUGUUAUCAUAUAUUCAAAUAAACUAAACAAAUAGAGUGUACUGAGACCAGAGUAGUGGAUGUGCCGCUUUUUUUGGAGUUGCAGCCUUGUUUUCUCCCAGUGGAGUCUCAGAGCACCUGGAAGCUUUCCCUGGCAGCAGAAUUGGACUCCAAAGUGCCUUUUUAGCAUCUAGAUAAUCUUCCUAUCAGAUGCCGAGAGCAUGGCUUGACUGAAGCAAGGAGCGGUAAGCCCCUGGGGGUUUGUGGUUCUCUGGUGGGGAACAGCGGCGGUAACACAGCAACGCAGUGGACCUGCCCCACCCACUUGCCUCACCAUUCACUUCUGUGUGUCUGUGCUGCAUGAGUGCACACCAGUGGGUGCAGCAUCCAGCACGUUAGAAGGGCCAAGACCCAGUGGCUGCUAUGCGCUUCUGUUUGCCAGCAUCUCUCUGGGCUCCGCAGGACAGCUGCCAUCAUUUACCGCUCAUACUGAGUCAACGAAGUCUAACGCAACGACACGCAUCCAUGACCUCAAACCCAAGCCAUGGCCAGAGGACAGGUAGCAGGCCGGACAUGUGCCCAGGUACAAGGCCCCCAGCACCAGCCUCUCAGGGAAUGUGGGCUUCAGAGGAAGCUCUGUUCUCUCCAAAAGGAAGGCUGCUCAGAAAGGCUAUACGUCCUACUAUGUGGGGCUGUUUCCUGAAGGACUGGGCACUCAUCUCUAACUCCCAGAGGGGGUUUUGUAGAUACAGGUCCGGAAUGGAGACUGAGGUACUGUCCGCUUCAAAAGAACUUAUGAGCUUCAGGACAUGACUCUGGUUGGAGGGGCGGAGGGCCUCAGAUGUCUUCUCAAAAGUAGGCAAAUUGUUGAGCCAAGACCUUAGAUUUAUUUAGAAAUAAUGAUUCAGAGAAAUAAAGAAGGAAUGGAUGGGGAGUUCUAAACAUGGGUCUCUGGUGGCCACUAUAUCCUUCAGUCCAAACUAUUUGUCUUCAGAGAAAGGCAAAGACAGAAGUGGUUUGCGGUGACAGAUGGAGCUCAGGUGAUUCUGCGUCAAGCAUCUCUGUAACAGGGAGUUGAAAGAAUCUUCCUCUGUCCAGAACACAAUUGGGCUAAUUUGGAAGUAAAGGCUGCCCACCUUCAUUUGUGUCAGUGGGGCUAUGCAAUCUUUCAUGCCAUCAAGUCGAAUGAAUGCUAGGUUCACCCUUGCUUAAGACCCACAGUAAUGUUCGGUGGGGCCUGCACCCCCUUUUUUUGGAAACAUUUCUUCCAUUUCUGACAACUUGACAGCUCUUGGGAGCAGCUCUCUCAAGGCUUCCCACAAGCUCUCUAAGAGAUGUAAAAGGUUGAAGUUGUUAAGAGGACCGAUGAGGAAUUACUUCCAGGAGUACCAAUAAAUCAAGAAAAUAAUCCAGAGGCACACAAAGUCAAGGUCAGAGGCAGAUGCUGGCAUUCCUUCGUUGAGAAAAGAAGACUCCAGGACUCAAUUCGAACUGGGGGUAGAAAUAUUAUGAAAGUCAAACCGAAUCCCAACAUUCCCUUGGGAAUUUUUCCCCUUCUGAAUUGCCUAGGACCUCAGGAACCAAGUAUCUCUGUGAGAAAACUGUACAUAGACAUGUACCAUCUAUAUUGUCUUGCAUUUAUCCUCCAUAAAUUCUGACAAAUACUUUGAUGGAAAAGCCAAUUUCAUAUCUAUCUUUCCUUCCCAGCACCUAGAACACUACAAAGCAAAGUAGGUCCUUGAUGUAUAUUUGCUGAAAUGAUGAGUGAAUGGAUGAAUGAAUGAAUGACUCACCAGUCAACUGAUGGACUACCAUAAUUCUUAAGUUAUACAAGUAAUACCUCAUUAUGACAAUCCAGCCCCUCCCUUCAACUAACAAAAUAUCCAAAUGAUUUUCAUUCUGUUGACACUUUGUGAUAAUUGCUAGAGAAUCUUUUCCCAGUAGGCAGAAGCUGGAGAUGAAACAAAACAAAUAUUAAAUUUCUUCAUCAGGAACUGGCAAGUGAAAACAAAAUGUCUUGAAUAUAGUAAAAGAGGAACAUUUUGCAGAUCAGCUUAAUAUAUUGCCCUUGAAGGCCUAAAUGUAUUUGUGUUAUAGUGUCAAGUAACUACUCAAAAAAUGCUUCAAAACUUGUUUGGCUUGUUCAAAUUUAAAAUACUAAGAGAAAAAAGAGGUUUGGCUGAUUUUUAUAAAUUCAAUAUCCAAGUAGUGGGAAAGGAAUUAAGACAGCUGGGAUAUAUGUAGCUAUGAAUUUAGCAGAAGAAUAAUCAUCAGGUAAGCAAAAAUCACUCCUCUGCCACAUCUGGAGGAACCAGUUGUAGAAGGAAAGGUGUGACUUGGUUACCAAAAGGACAUUUUCUGAUCUUUAAUUAAGAUUUUUAAAAAUCUUAAC